UGUGAGAUCAUGCUCUGUGCUGUGUGUGCAUGCAGGUCAUGUGUGCUCUGAAAACAAGCUUAAUGUUGUCACAAUAACACAGACUCAUCCACAUGCAGGUCAUCAGGUAGAGGAGUCACUCUGUGUGAGUCUUUGUUCUUUUUAUGGUUUGACUUCACCAGCUUAUCAAACGAACAACAGCAGCUGUCGCCGCUCAGUCUGAUGCAGUCAGAGCUAAAGUCAUGUUAUUAUCUUGACUCCAGGUCGUUUUUCUUCUUUGUGAAACAUGAAACAGCACAAAGUGAGCAAACAGGAGCACUGAGAUAACGAGGACAGGAACCAAGUGCAGGGUUGGAUCUGAACAUGAUAACAGUGGAUCCUUCUUCCUCUUUGGCAGAGUUCACAUGAAUUUGAAUGCAUGAACAUGUGUCAGGAUGAAAGCACCUGUAGUUUCCCAGCACAGUAACAUCCACCAUCACAGCGUCACUGAGAUCCUCUGGGUCUCCUUUACAAAGUUCCCCAUAAUGAUAACUCUCGUGUUUUCUUCAGCUUGCGGAGUUUUCCCAUUAUAGCGUGAGUAGGAGUCAGCAGGAGGAGGAGGAGUCUGCCAGCUGAAGCUUGUUUGCAGACUCUCGUGUUUCUUUGACGGACAGCUUGUGAGGAGACACAGCAGCAGGGAUAUUUGGUCAUGACCGUCUCCGUUUAACUCUGCGAUGGAGUCAAGUAUGAGAGUUAUUGUCCUUCUCGUUGUGAUGAGAUUUUCUGCUUCUGAGGAAGUGAAGAAGAACCUGACGGGCACUGUGGGAGGAAACAUCACUCUACCUGCACCUGUGCUGGAGAAAGGAUAUCUGUUAUAUGGAAGAACGAUUAUUGCUGAUGUGAUUAAGGGAGAAUUUCAAGUAUUUGUGGAAAAGUACAAGAACCGACUUCAGUGGGACAGAAACUCUGGACUCUUUACACUCACAGAGCUGCAGAGGAACGACUCAGGGAUUUAUACUGUCGACUCUAAAACAGGAAAAGUUUUCACAUCAUCAUAUAAGCUGACAGUGUACGACUCUGUACCGACUCCUGCAGUGAAGAAAGUGAGUGUGAGCUCUGAGAGCUGCUCCUUACUGUGUUUAGUGGACAGAGAGACCAAACUGCUGUGGUUUAAAGACGAGCAGAGACUGAACCAGAGCAGCUCUGCGCUCUCUCUGCCUCUCACUGUGCACAAACAGGACUUCAGCUCCUCUUACAGAUGUGUGGCUGCAAACCCUGCAGACGAGAAAACUCUUCCUGUCCAUGUGAGAACGACCUGUGGAGACACCAACAACGACACCAACAGCUCGACUGAACCAAGAAACUAUAACAUCCUCAUUAUAAUCUUCUGUGUCCUGUUCGUUGUGAUCAUCAUACUUGCUGCUUUUGUCAUCAAGUCAAAGUAUCUUCACAAAGUAUCAAGGUAAGCAUUUGUGUCUUUUUCUUUUUUAUUAUGGGUAUUUAUCUUUUUACAUUUGUCUUUGGAUCUCAGAGUACUAUUCUCUGUUUCUUUAUGUCAAACUACACCUGUACACAUGUUCAGCACAAAUAGUUUCAUCUGUUCAGCUGGUCAUACCUGCUUCAUAUAGUUCAUAAAGGUUAUUGGCAGACAAGUGAACAGUAAAUUGUUACAAGCAGAUCAAACUCAUUGACAGUAUAAUCCAGUAAGUUCUUCCUCUGGAAUCAGUAGUUCCAGGCAGAUCAGACACUUCUGGUUUUCCAAAGAAGAAACAGUAACAGUCUCAUCUGUUACUUUACUCCAACUACUCUGUUUCUUACUUCUUGUAUUUUCCCCUUUCAGGAAGAAAAAAAGUACGAAAACUGUUAACAACAAUCUGAAUAUAGUAUCAGCACAUGAUGCUCAGACUCUGGUGAUGAUGUUGGGUGAACAACAAAUCAGGUCAUCAGUCAGUUUCUACGCCUGUCGUGUUAUUAAGUCUGGAGCUGAUAUUGUUUUACCUGACAAAUGAUCGUGGAUCCUUUAGAGGAGAAAACCUAAUACUGAUGUCAUUCAAGCAUAAUUUCUGGAAGAGAUUAAUGUUUGAACAGCAGCUAUUGUGGUGCUAAAAUAUUAUAAAGAUAUUAUGGUGACAUUUUAUACACUGCUGUUAGCUCUGCAGCAUCGAUUCAUGGUGGAAAUGUUUGUUUUUAAAGGAAAUGACAAAAAUCAGGCUGCAGAGGAAAGUUAAUAAAAAUCAUUCUUUAUAACUCAUAGUUAUGAUCAAAUUUUUAUACAUUUUUUAAAUACAUAUUAUUGCUGCUGAGGAAAAACAUACAAGCAUAGGUGUUCAUGUCUGCUGCUGUUUUUUUGUGUUUGCUCAAACUCGCUCAGUUUUGGGCCUUUUGAUUGAUUUGAAUCUGAACGUUUACGUACGAGACCAAAACCUGAUGUAAUCCCAGACGUGUUACUGUGGCCUGAAAAUCAAAGAGCAUCAGUUUUACUCACUGAGGAAACACUCAGUUUGAAUCAACACAGUGGAGUCCUGCAACAGCUACUGAACUUCCUCUGCAGCACAUGCGGGACCAGCAGCUCAGUUUUAUCUCUGCUGCCAAAAGGACUGAUCGAGAAAAUCUUUAUCAUCCCACAUGAACAAUCACUGCAUUCAGUUUAGAUUCAACCCUCUGAGCUCCUCCUUUAGAAUAGUUUUCACCUUUGAACUGAUUUAUUUUGUAAUAUUCUUUUAAUUUUAUUGAGCCCAGUGUUUUCAUAUUUUGCCUCCUAUAAAACACGAAUUUCCUGACUUCUGGUAUAAAUUAAGUUCUUCUUGUU
ensembl:lncRNA